GCAAUUUUGUGCAUGUGUGUGCACAUGCCUCCAACAACCUUUUCUUGCCAACGUCUGUGAGUGGGACCUGCCUCUGGCUCACAGCCCAGCUGUGCUUAUCACUGCCUGGAAAUACUUUGGUUCAGGCUUUACUUUGGUUCAGGCUUCAGGCCUCGGACUGGGCCUCUGAUACAAGAACUU